GACGAACGCUGGCGGCGUGCCUAACACAUGCAAGUCGAGCGGAGAUAUUAGUAAUAGUAUCUUAGCGGCGGACGGGUGAGUAACGCGUGGGCAACCUGCCUCGUACUGGGGGAUAACACAGGGAAACUUGUGCUAAUACCGCAUAAAAUCAUAGGAGGACAUCCUCUAAUGAUCAAAGGAGCAAUCCGGUAUGAGAUGGGCCCGCGUCCGAUUAGCUAGUUGGUGGUGUAACGGACCACCAAGGCGACGAUCGGUAGCCGAACUGAGAGGUUGAUCGGCCACAUUGGGACUGAGACACGGCCCAGACUCCUACGGGAGGCAGCAGUGGGGAAUAUUGCGCAAUGGGGGAAACCCUGACGCAGCAACGCCGCGUGAAGGAUGAAGGUUUUCGGAUUGUAAACUUCUUUGAUGAGGGACGAACAAAUGACGGUACCUCAAAAACAAGCCACGGCUAACUACGUGCCAGCAGCCGCAGUAA
rnacentral:rRNA from 1 species